rnacentral:misc_RNA from 1 species
CUCAAAUCAAAUACUCUCAAAAUAAUAUCUCAAUUUCAGAUGAGAAUAUCAUUGGAAAGCCGUCAACAAGUUUGAAGUUGAAGCCUAUAGUUGCAGAAAAUUCUAGCCUAAACAACGCAUGAACACUCAACUGGGGUAAUCCCCACUUGAAUAAUCGAGCCCAAUUCAUAAGAGCCUCAGUGUACAUUCGCCAGUGGCAGGCAAGAAAAAUCCAUAAUUAUUCCCCUCUAAACGAGGCAUACAAAAGGCAACCUUCUCUAUUACUAUGUUGCUUUGGGGUUCGGGUGACGGGUGUUGCACUACCAACAAAUUGCAAUCAAACCCUCCGGCAGAAUUCUAAUAGAACCCUAAGAUGCAUGAUUGAACACCCCAAUGUUACAAACGUUUCAAAAACUUUAACAUGAGAGGGAAAUUAUAGGUAUAAUGCAGUCAAAAUUUGUUGAAAACUCAAAUUGAAGACUCAGCACAUAAAGAGCACAGCAUGCCCAGCUGAUUCCCCCAAACACUCAUGGAUAAUCAGCGACUCUCAAUUGAUAUUAUUGUGCAAGGGCGCCACCACUGGCUGGUCAUCAUCCGUACCAAAAUAUCUAUCUCCGAAUUCUCCCAUGCCAGGAAUGACGCGAAAAUCUUCAUUCAAACCAAUUUCAAUCUCAGAUGUCACAAUCUUUAUUCUUGGGAACCUUUUGCAGACCACAUGCACUCCCUGAGGUGCCUGGCAAAACAAACAGCAUUGCACAGAGAAGUUUCAAAAAAAUAAAAAAUAAUAUAAAAAAAAAGCUUCAAAAUAAGUAGGUUAAAGAUAAAAAUAAAUAAAUAAACAGACACUAAGAGCAGUCACUUACAGAUAUCAGAUUAAGAAAUAUAAUGUUG